CUGUUUGUGAACCAGGCAAAGCUGUAGUUUUGUUUCCUAAAAACAGUGCUGCUCCAGGCAACAUGGUCCCAGAAUUCCUUAGCCAGCAUGAAUAUGCAGGUUCCCACCACCUCCCACAUGUUUCCUGAAAGGCAGCCGGGCAUUGCCGUCUUGGAGGGGGGUCCCCGUCUCAGAGUAAGCAAAACUGAUUUGCUGUCACAUCCGCCAAUCUUCAAGGUGCCCUGGACAAAAGGAGAGUGUCUGUUCCUUCAAAGCUUCCUGAAGUCUACAGGAGACUCUGGCCCACUGUUGGAACGGAGGACUUGGUGCAUGCUGAAGUGAAACAUCUCAUUCUGCUCUCUUUCCCUGUCCAGGAAGUCAUCAAGACAUCUAAGAAAUCAGUUUCAGAAGACAGAAGCCACAAACAGCUGUGACUACAGAACCUUCUUCUGAAACAACAGAAGGCAGUCCAGCCAAGUACCACUGAGAGGCAGAGCAGAUCCAAUGCUUGGAAAAUGGCAAGUCUAUCCAUAAGAAGAUACAAAGUAAGGUAGUUCUUUGCCAGUUAGUUCAUCAGUCCAAAACUCUUGAAAACUGCAAGUUUUCUUUACAAGACUCGUCUGUUAACAUGUUUUAAGACAUUUAAAUAGCCAUUUGCUUGGUUGGCCUGUGCAAGUAAAAAUGUCUUCAGCUGACUAGAUGGGUCAGGUGGAUUCAUUCUUUUUAUUUCAGAGAAUGAAUGGAUUCUCACAGUGGACUUUAUUCA